AUGGAGCGCUUGGGGCUGGGGUACUUCGGCCCGGGCACCCGGCUGUCGGUGCUAGGUGAGCGCGGGCCCGGGGACGCGGGGACGGACGCGGGUUUUUGCGCGGGGCUUGGGGACCGUGGCCUCGGACACGCAGCACUUCGGGCCCGGCACGCGCCUCCUGGUGCUCGAGGGCAGCGGGUGGGCUCGGUGUCAUGCCGGUCCCCGCCCCCCUCCCAGGCGCUGGAGCCCGGCCGGGACGCAGGGAGGAGGCAGCUGGGGUGCCGGGGGUUUGCGCGCGGGGCCGGGCCGCCGUGCUCCUAUGAGCUGCAUUUCGGCCCCGGCACCAGGCUCACGGUCACAGACGACCUGAGCAAGGUGACCCCCCCCAAGGUCACCGUGUUCGAACCCUCCGAAGCAGAGAUCUCCCGCACCCAGAAGGCCACCCUCGUGUGCCUGGCCACAGGCUUCUACCCCGACCACGUGGAGCUGAGCUGGUGGGUGAACGGGAAGGAGGUGGAGAGCGGGGUCAGCACGGACCCUCAGCCCUACAGGGAGCAGCCCGACCAGAGCGACUCCAGCUACUGCCUGAGCAGCCGGCUGCGGGUCUCCGCCGCCUUCUGGCGCAGCCCCCGCAACCACUUCCGCUGCCAAGUCCAGUUCUACGGGCUCGCGGAGGGGGACCCGUGGCCGGAAGGCCGGGCCAGGCCCGUCACCCAGAACAUCAGCGCCGCCGCCUGGGGCAGAGCAGACUGUGGCUUCAGCUCAGCGUCCUAUCAGCAGGGCAUCCUGUCUGCCACCCUCCUCUACGAGAUCCUGCUGGGCAAGGCCACCCUGUACGCUGUGCUGGUCAGCGCCCUGGUGCUGAUGGCCAUGGUCAAGAGAAAGGAUUCCUGACACCAGCUCCAAGAAUGCAUCCUGAGUCAUUCCCAAUCCUCAGCCUGGAUUUUUCUUCACAUGCUUCCACUCUGUGUUCGUAACAAGUUAUUCUCUCUCCCUCUCCAUUCUCCUUCCUACAUGGGUAUAUGUCCCUUCUCUCUGCUUCCCUUGAGCUCAUCGACCCUGAAUCUGAAAUAGACUAAAUCAAUAAACAUGUCAUGCUGGG